AGAGUUUGAUCCUGGCUCAGAUUGAACGCUGGCGGCGUGCUUAACACAUGCAAGUCGAACGUGAAAGUCCUUCGGGGCGAGUAAAGUGGCGCACGGGUGAGUAACGCGUGGAUAAUCUACCCUUAAGAUGGGGAUAACGGCUGGAAACGGUCGCUAAUACCGAAUACGCUCCCGAUUUUAUCAUUGGGGGGAAAGAUGGCCUCUGCUUGCAAGCUAUCGCUUAAGGAUGAGUCCGCGUCCCAUUAGCUAGUUGGCGGGGUAACGGCCCACCAAGGCAACGAUGGGUAGCCGGUCUGAGAGGAUGACCGGCCACACUGGAACUGGAACACGGUCCAGACUCCUACGGGAGGCAGCAGUGGGGAAUAUUGCGCAAUGGGCGAAAGCCUGACGCAGCGACGCCGCGUGAGGGAUGAAGGUUCUCGGAUCGUAAACCUCUGUCAGGGGGGAAGAAACCCCCUCGUGUGAAUAAUGCGAGGGCUUGACGGUACCCCCAAAGGAAGCACCGGCUAACUCCGUGCCAGCAGCCGCGGUAAUACGGAGGGUGCAAGCGUUAAUCGGAAUCACUGGGCGUAAAGCGCACGUAGGCGGCUUGGUAAGUCAGGGGUGAAAUCCCACAGCCCAACUGUGGAACUGCCUUUGAUACUGCCAGGCUUGAGUACCGGAGAGGGUUGGCGGAAUUCCCGGUG
rnacentral:rRNA from 1 species